UACGUAGGGGGCUAGCGUUGUCCGGAAUCAUUGGGCGUAAAGAGCUCGUAGGUGGCUCGGUAAGUCGGGUGUGAAAUUUCGAGGCUCAACCUCGAGACGCCACCUGAUACUGCUGUGGCUAGAGUCCGGUAGGGGAGCGUGGAAUUCCUGGUGUAGCGGUGAAAUGCGCAGAUAUCAGGAGGAACACCAAUUGCGAAGGCAGCUCGCUGGGACGUUACUGACGCUGAGACGCGAAAGCGUGGGGAGCAAACAGG
rnacentral:rRNA from 1 species